rnacentral:lncRNA from 1 species
UUGAUAUGUAUUAUCUCAGUUUAAUAUUCACAGUUUGUCUCCAUGAGGUCAUACAGCUGUUUGAGGUUGCUCGGAGAGUAAGAAGCAGAAUGAGAACUAGAACAGAAGCUCACUUUGGCCUGAAGGCUCAUGUGCUGAGCAUCUUCCCUCGUCUGUCUCCCUAGUCCCCUAGCCUGGUGCCCAGUAUGUAGAAGACCUUCAUCCUAGAUGCAAUGGGAUUAAACUUGGAGAAAAUGGGAUUAAACUUGGACAAACACUACCUAUUUGGGCUUGUGAUGAUGGCUUUCAAACUUCUUAAAGCAAUGAAGUAUUUUUCCAGGAGAAAUCUUACACAAGAAGCCCAGCACACUGAGUCAAGCAUAUGUAGGUGGAAGAUAUCUGAUUGAGACCAACUAGAGAUAAACCUGUAGAUUCAACUGUUCCACCACAGCGAAUUCUAAGAAUCCACUGACUGUGAUCUGCAAGCUCCUACUCCACAGGAGGUCAGGGCACACAGCUUGAAACUGGAAGGCAGAAGAGUGACAGGGAAGGAUCAUGGACUCUGAAAUUAGAGCUAUCUGUGUUUUAAUACUAGUUCCAAUAGGCACAUGGUCUUGGAUAAAUGGUUUAAAUUCUCUGAGUCUCAAUUUCUUUCUCUGCAAAUAGGGAUGCUUAGUACAUAUGUAAUAGGGUUCUUACAGAAAAUUGUAUAACUUGUUAAACACACAUGUACUAAGAGCUUGGUGCCCAGUAUGCACUGAAUAAAUGCUAGCUCCUUUUCUUUCGUCUCUAUGACCCUUCCCAAAUCUCCCAGCCCCAUAUUGCUUCAUGUAGUGUAUGUAUAUUUGGGAAAAUUUGUGUGCACAUUUACAGAUGGGAUCCUACUCUUCUAUUGACAGACUGUCUUUUCAGAUGUGCCUUACUUUCAUUGCAUUGGUUUUUCAACUGAAAGUGAACAUAAAGGUUUUAAGCAUG